UCGUGAUAUUUUUGUCAAGCUGGGCCUUCUAUCUACGGCUGGGUUUGGCUGUCAAGCAGAUGUUCAAACUUAGACUACCCCCUGUCGAGUCGUGACCCAUUAAACCUCACGAUGAGGUUUGGAUAAAAUUCAGCUCAGCAGAAAUGCCGUGUUCUCGUUGCCCCUGUAAUUUUCAAACUACUGGUAACGCUUACAGCUGAUGUGUUAUCGAAUUCCGCUGAGCAGUUCAGCUGUUGUUCCUCAAUAAAACUGAUCGAACGUGGCGGUAAGCGUACAAUUUUCUGGAGAUCAGAUAAACAAGCGGUAAAUACGUACACCUGAGGAUGCUCUGUUACAUCUACUAUUGAGCCUUCAUAAUAGUUCGAAUGCACACAACUUUGGCCUUUCCUUUGUGCGCCUAACGUGUGUAGCGCCUUAAUACCGAUACAGGCAAGUAUCUACAUUGCGAUGUAAAAUUUCAUGUAUGUAGUACGCUAGAAUUUAUUUCAUUGAUUUUGUUUUGUUACGAGUAGUUUCCAUAUCGAGAAAAAAGACGUUAGAUAGAUUAUCCCAUUGCAAACUGUUGCAAUAUGCACACAGAAGUUGUUUGUUUAAGUCUCUCGUCUGUAUAUUCUCGAAGUUACACUGGAGACGUUUUGGUUAUGUUUAACGAUAACCAGUACUGUUUGGCAGAAAUGCCGAAAACAACAAGAUAGGUGCCUUUCCCUGUUGCGGAAGCUUCUAGCGUAGAGGUAGGAGUAGCUUGAUCGUAUUGCGCCUGUCAACGGGAAUUGUGCUUAUGGGCCGGCUGUCUGUUAGGACAAAACGUUAACAUUUUUUGACGCGGUAUAGCUAGCUUGUCGUGCUUCCUUCAAGGCCAUUAUCGCUUCUGCUACCGGAAUCAGAGAUAGGAAUGAGAACAGGUAUUCUCAAGAAAUCUGUAUGCGCUCUUACACAAAGGGCAGGCGGUGAGACGGGCGUCUGUACGCGUAUGCGUAUUUGUGUUGUUGAAUUCAUUCACUUAGGCCAAAAGCUAUCAUUCCUGCUCGAUAUGGAUCAAAAACUAACACAGCACUCUUCGCACUCGGACGUUUUCCUUCCGAGGAAAACUGCAAAACGCUUUGGAUUAGAUUUAAUCAAGCGACUAUGGACGUUUCUAUCUCUCCCCCUUGCUUACACAGCUUGCGAAUAAGUUAACACAACCUGUAAUUGCACGCUGCGUUAUCUAGUUGACCGUGUACCGUUAUCUUGUAUACCUUUGCUGUCAUUAUCUUCAAGCUCGUUUUUUAGAGCGGGGGUGCGAGAUGCAUACAUUUUCUCAGGCAUGCAGAUACCUAGUUGGGUCGGCUGUCACGCCUAACAUGGGGGGUGCACGAUUUUCUGUUUGAGGCGGCGGCAAGAGUAACGCUUGUGCUGCCGACUGACCGCGGCGGAAAGGGGGAAAAUAAAAGAGGCGGUAGGGGCCCAAGCAUACGAAGAACAAAAGCGACAGAGCGGACAGGACGAAGCGUUGAGCGGCGGUAGUUAAAUGUGUGGCUAUGUACAAACAUAUAUGACAGUGUGUGUGCUACGAUCUGAGCAAUUCAUGCAGUGGUAGCAGGCGAUAUACUUUAGCUGGCCGCGCGUCUAGCGAGACAAGGAGAUAGUGCGCGCACAGCGUUUAUCUACGUCGCUUCUGUUAGAGCUAUCGGUGCUUAUAGGGCGAUUAGUGGCCUCCUGCAGUGGUGAUCGCGUUUGUAACGUAUGCCGUAGGUUACUUUAUCUAGGACGACGGGACAGCUUCAUAAUCGGUUCAAGAUCACGUGAAAAACUAUACUAAAGCGUGGACUAAAAGUGGACAUAGAAAUGAUCUUAAGAGAAUUUUAGUGCUUUGCUCAUCGUGACGUCGUUGUUACCUUGCCGUUAAGAGCAAAAUUUAUCUGGGACCAACAAACAAACAAACAAAAAUAUUCAACUCUUGUAAAUUUUUCGAACGCGUAUCGCUAUUAUAUGGUGAAAGUGUACUGGCCGUCCUAUGCUAUCGGCCAACAAGGAAGUCCUUCAGUAUGAGAUUUACGCUGUCCCAAAUCCUACAAACUUCAACGAUUGUUCUCCUGCUGGUGCCUGUGAUGUUGGCCUGCGUUGAUGCUUGCCAAUCCUAUUAUCAAGCUUGUGGACGUCGAAGGCAAUGCUGCUCCGGACUAAACUGUUCCCGAGACCCCGGAGCACGACCAGAUGAAACGUACUGCAAGCAAACAUUGACGCUUGCAAUACAAAUACCGUGAAAAGGAGCUUCUUUUCUGCGGCGACGUCUGACUACUGACCUUUGUCAAGGCAUACGCAUUUUUGUGUUUGGAAGGCACAAACAGUCACAAUCGACGCAAUACGAUAAGUGACGUUCAGUAUGAACCAUAUACUUGGUGGACCCGAGACGGAAAUCAUCGCAGUUCGCUAGGGUCUGUCGCUCGAAAAAUCGCACCUCUUCCAACAGCACUCUCUCAUGCUUACCCGAAUCAGCCACAAGAGCAAUAUUAUUACUAGGAUAUUCUAGUGUUUUCCACUACGAAUAGAACGCAUCUAAAGAAAAUAUAUCUUCUAAUAAACUUAU